rnacentral:rRNA from 1 species
CUACGGGAGGCUGCAGUGGGGAAUAUUGGUCAAUGGGCGAAAGCCUGAACCAGCAAUGCCGCGUGAGUGAUGAAGGCCUUCGGGUUGUAAAGCUCUGUCAGUGGGAACGAAUAAGUCGAUUAAUAACCGAUGAUGACGGUACCCACAAAGGAAGCACCGGCUAACUCUGUGCCAGCAGCCGCGGUAAUACAGAGGGUGCAAGCGUUGUUCGGAAUUACUGGGCGUAAAGCGCGUGUAGGCGGUCUGAUAAGUCGGUCGUGAAAUCCCUUGGCUUAACCAAGGAACUGCGAUCGAAACUGGCGGACUAGAGUAUCGGGGGGGGUGGCGGAAUUCCCGGUGUAGAGGUGAAAUUCGUAGAUAUCGGGAGGAACACCUGUGGCGAAGGCGGCCACCUGGAAGAUUACUGACGCUGAGACGCGAAAGCGUGGGGAGCAAACAGGAUUAGAUACCCUUGUAGUC